rnacentral:sRNA from 1 species
CAAGACAAAAUCGAUGGGGGAACAAUGCAAGGAACUGAACAAGCCUUGUACUGGAUACAACUAGAAUACUGGCAGGAAACAUUCUAAAAGGAACUUGUGCUGACGUCACGGCCCGAAUGUAGUGUUUGAUGAAGGAGAUGGCCUCCCCUAUCAAGCACAUAUUCAAAGUCUAGACAACCCUCAAGGGACAGUACUCGUCUAUAUAGAGAAACUUGGAGUCAAGCGAACAGUGCCAGCCAGGUGUGUUCGUCCACUACCUUUAAAUAUCUAUGGUAAG